UGGAACCUGCCCUGCCUCGGGAGGGAGCUGAGCUACCUUGGGGAGCCCUCUGAGAAAGGGUGAGGCCGUUCUCUUCAGCACUGUCCUCUCUCACAGCCGCUGCUGUUCCCCAGGACGCUGCCGCCAGACGGAGUCGCAGUCUCACCCCGUGUCCAGGCUCCUGGCAUCCAGAACAAAGAACCGAGCAGGACACACGGAUGUGGUGGGAAGGCGGAGAUUACCACCGGCAGCGGAGUACACUCCGCAGAGCAGAGGCUGAUUGUGAGAAGACAUCCCUUCUUCAAGACGCUCGAUUUCCAGCUGCAGAAAUUUUUGAUAUGCCGCCUUUGUUUGAGCAUGAUGUGCUACUGUCCUCUGCUGGAGAACUGAUGAAACUGAUAAAACUGUGCAAGUCUCCCAUGCCUGUGGUAGAUGUGGCAUGCUCUUAGGUGUGGUGCCCUUGGGCAGUGUGCAUCUUAGACAACUGUAACGCCAGCCAUUCUCCACUCUUGUCCACACACACUGGAAGUGAAGGUUACAAAACCUGUGAUGAAUUUCUAUGGAACUGGUUGCAGGGAAUCAAACUCAUGACCUCACGCUUGCCAGGCAGGCGCUUGUGCUGCUGAGCUACGUCUCCGGCCCAUGGAGCUUCCUGAUAUCAGGCGUCAGAGCCUGAGGAAAGCAGUCCAUUUCCUGAGCCCGGCGUUGCCCUGAUGCUUGCCUGUGUCGGGAUGAUGCCAUCGAGGGAAGGCUGGCAUGGGCGCUGCAAGGCAAUGGAGUGGAAGGGGGCUGCGGCUUUCCUGAGCGAAGCGUUGGGAUCUGGAAGUAGCGCUGGGCUGUACAGCACCAGGCGAGGAGCGUGGGAUUCGGGACAUUUUCAGCCGGCUCUGUGGUCCAGCUACACAGACUGUCUGGGAACAGGCAGAGAGCAGGUGAUUCAGUGCUGGGUCCCGCUUCUGGAUAUCGCCCUGGGUGCUCAGAGCCGCGUCCUCCGAGAACAAAGGAGCGGCAGAAAGGGAGGACUUUCCCACCUAAAAUGUAAGUGGAGAGUCCUAAGGAUUUACAGUAUGCAUGAAAAUGCCAGAGACAUACUUGAUGCUGUGUAAAUUCAAACAAAUGCAUGAAUGAUGAAGUCUCCAGUCUUCAAAAAAAAA